rnacentral:rRNA from 1 species
UACGUAGGGUGCGAGCGUUAAUCGGAUUUACUGGGCGUAAAGCGUGCGCAGGCGGUCCGCUAAGACAGGUGUGCAAUCCCUGGGCUCAACCUAGGAAUUGCGCUUGUAACUGGCGGGCUAGAGUACGGGAGAGGGGGGUGGAAUUCCUGGUGUAGCAGUGAAAUGCGUAGAUACCAGGAGGAACACCGAUGGCGAAGGCAGCCCCCUGGGCCUGUACUGACGCUCAGGGACGAAAGCGUGGGGAGCAAACAGG